CCAAAAGGAAGCACGAGAACUCUUAAAAAAAGAAUAACAAAAAAAGAAAACUGCAUCAGUUGCACGUCUAAAAGCUGAAGCAGAUGUUGAGGGAAAACUACAUGCUUGAUUCAUUGUGACGGCGUUUGUCAUUUUCCAAAUCACUAUCUUGUGAGAUGAGCUUGUAAGGUUUCUUCCUCUCUUUCUCCUCCAGCACAGAGUUUCCCAUCUCCACAUCCUUGCUGCGAAGCUCGUGUCGAGAGAGGAACUCUAUGAUGCCGGCUCCGAUUGAAUCGCCCAAAACGUUGGUGGUGGUACGCAGACGGUCCCUAUCACACGAGAGAAAGAGGAUGUCGAACAUCGCCGUAGACAACAUCGAUUCAUCUCCAUUUAACAUUUACGGAAGCAUCGUGAGGCCCCUUCGGGACUUAGCUCGUGAAGAGGUAGACUUAGCAGCCAUGAUCGGAAGUACCACGUGCCCUCGUCCGAAAUGCGCAUGCACUCUGUCAUAUAAAUGGAACCCGCGCUGUCUGCAUGCGAGGCAGCGACAUGUACGACUACACUGGGGGCAGCAGCUUGAGCAGCGAAGCCCAGACUUCCCUCUCCCCGGCGGCCAUUUCGUCCAGCUCUUCCAGGGGGAUUCCGAGUAUUUCCUCGGCCGACACAGUCAUAGUCUCUCCGGCGGGUCCCGGAUGGUCACUGUGACUUCCUCCCAGUGGGAGUGCUCUGAAAACCUCACCAGGGAGGCAUCCGCGGGGCAUCCUAACCAGCCAGAUGAGGUCCCACCGACCUCAUCUGGCUCCUCUUGACGCAGCUCCACUCCGAGCCCCUCUCGGAUGACCGAGCUUUCUCACCCUAUCUGUCCUCAGUGAGCUCACCCUGCAGACUAAACUCCUUUCUGUGAUCUUAUUCUUUCGGUCAGAACCCACAGAUCGCGCCCAUAGGCGAGGGUGGGAACGUAGCUUUACCGGUAAAUUGCCGGCUUCACCUUUCGGCUCGACUCCUUCUCCGCCACAACAGACCGAUUGCAGACUAGUCUGCGUAACUGCAGAUGCUGCGCCAAUCCGCUAGUUGAUCUCCCGCUCAAUUCUUCCCUCACUCAUGACCAAGACCCCACAUUACUGAAACUCCUCUACUUGGGACAUGAUCUCUUCCUGAAACCCGGAGAGGGCACUCAACCCUUUUCUAACUGAGGACCAUAGCCUCAGAUUUGGAGGUGCUGAUUUUUAUCCCAGCCACUUUACACUCACAGUAGCUGCGAACCGCUCCAGCGAGAGGGCAAGAUCGGAUCUUGAUGAAGCCAACAGAACCACAUCAUCUGCAAUAAGCAGAGACGUAAUACCAAGGUCACCAAACCGGACCCCCGCGACGCCUCGGCUGUGCCGAGAAACUCUGUCCAUAAAAGCUAUGAAAAAAAAUCGGUCAAGUUCUGAACACAAUUGGUAACAAAGUGGAGCCUUGGCGGAGUCCAACACUCACUGAAAAGGAGCCCGGCCGGCCUACUGCCGGCCGCCAAUGCGGCCCAAACACCGACACGGGUCAUAAAAGGACCAAACGGCCCACAUGAGGGAGUGCGGUACCGCAUGGUCUCGUAGCACCCUCCACACGACUCCCCGAGGGACACAGUUGAUGCCUUCUCCAAGUCCACAAAGCAGACUGGUCGGAUGAACUCCUACGCACCCUUCCAGAACCAUGCUGAAGGUGUAGAGCUGGUCGACUGUUCCUCGGCCAGGACGAAAACCACACUGAUUUGGCUUCCUGACAGACCCUCCUCUCCAGCACCCCCAAUAGACCUUACCAGAUUGGGGGGGGGGGGGUGAGGUGAGGUGUGUAAUCCCCCUGUAGUUGAACCUCAAAAAAGGUGGACCACCACCCCAGUCUGCAAUCCAGAGGCCCACAGAGGAGUUUUAUAACGAGCUCUGCAACUUCCACUCCAGAGACAGGUGAGCCCGCUGCAGAACCCCCAGACUCUGCUUCCUCAUAGGAAGGCAUGUCAGUGGAAUUGAGGAGGUAAUUCCAAGUGUAUUCUCCCCACCGGUGACACUAAAGUGGCGGUGUUCCAUACAUAAAGUCAACAAUGCAAAUGUUUAUGUGGCGGUAACGUGGUUCGGUCAAUGUUAGCUGAUUUACAAACAUAAACCACCCUCUGUUGUUUUGGAACAAUGUGAAGGAUGUUCUGUACUCAUGUUUUCGAUUACUGUAUGCUCCAGAAAAAGGACAGAUGUUCAUAUUUGGACCAUCCUAGUUGAGGAGGCGGGGAUUUUUCCACAUUGCCCCAGUUAGCUGAGCAAUUUGUGAAAAGGGUCUUCUAAUUGGAAUGAUUAAUUUGGGCAACCUAAUUACGUUUCUAUGUUAAAACUCAGUCCGGAAAAUAUUCAAUACAAAGGGAACGAUGUAGAGCAGGACUUCAGGGAGAAUGGCAAAGUGUGUCACUAGGUGGUAGUAGAGAUGAGGAUACGUUUGACCUUUAAAAUGACAACUCUGAUUCAUGUCGGCGCGUGAACGCGGGUUCCGCUCUUCGCCGCGUGACGUGAUUAUAUUUUCGACGGCGCAAGAUACUCACAGGAACCAAUCAACUGCAAUGAUCAGAGUAAUGUCGUCGGUGGGAAGUCCAACAGACGUCAAUACAAUCACCAUCGUGACCAGGCCCGCUUGUGGGAUCCCGGCAGCUCCGAUACUCGCUGCAGUUGCUGUAAUACUUUGUUAAAGGGCAGGAAGUUCAUUGGUGUAUAUUUGCUCUUCGUUAUUAUAGUCUCCCUGUGUUCACUCUUACCUGAUGGUGAUGAUCUGACCAAAGUUCAUCUCCAUGUUGUUGACUUGGGCAAUAAAAAUGGCUGCCAGCGCUUCGUAGAGAGCGGUGCCAUCCAUGUUGAUGGUGGCACCCACGGGCAACACAAAGCGAGUAAUUCGCUUGUCUAUCUUGUUGUUCUCCUCCAGACAUUUAAAUGUGACAGGGAGGGUGGCCGAGCUGCGAGAUGACACAACAGAAACGAGAAAUGUUCGCACCAAAGCGGACCUUACAACGAAUUGGAUGCCAACGCUUUCGAUCCGGGCCUCACCUCGAAGAGGUGCCCAACGCCGUGACCAGAGCUUGCACAAGGCCAGCGAUGAAAAUGAAAGGGUUCUGCCGAGUGAUGGCAAAAUACAGGGUGGGAAGAAUAAGAACGCCAUGGAUCAUGAGGCCGAUUAUAACUGUGAUAGUAUACAUGCCCAACUGGCCACCCAUCUGUGUGAGAUCAUCCAUCUCCACUAUUUUCCCUGCAAUGAGGAACAGGAUGCCAAUAGGAGCGUACCUGAAAGGAGGAAGAGGUCGUGUUAAGAGAGCUGUACCGGAAAGACAAAUGGAACAGGAGGUGAAAAGUCAAGGCCCACCACAUGAUGAUGGCAACCAGCUGCAUGAUUGCUUCAUUGAGGCCGUCAAAGAAAUCCCUCAGGAGCUGGCCUUGCUCCUUCAUGUUGCCAAUUAUCAGCCCAAAACACAUAGAGAAGACCACCAAGCCCAGCGCGUUUACUCCAUUCACCUGACCGGGCACCGGUAUCACUUCCUCUCGGGUGAUCUCCAUGACCUCCUGGGUGUCGUUGGUUGUAUUGAAGAGGGUGUCGUUCACUGUCACCGUCACGUGAACGACUCGUUUUCCAUACUUUGUUUUGAACUGGACAAAGAAAUGAUGGCGCUCGGUUAGAUAGGCAAGCUGACCGCAGAUACCCCACAUUUGCAUACAUUGCAUCGUCAUCACCCAUCCAUACUCGGCUGCCAGCAAAACGUAUUCGGGGACCGCACCCGAGCGAGUAUACCUCGACACCGUCCCAAUGAGCUGGAGCCGAGCCCAGCAGACCUCGGGCACGAGGCGGGGCACGCUCUGAACUGGCCACCGGCCAAUCGCAGGGCACGUGUGGACAAAGAACCAUUCACGCUCACAUUCAACCCUUCAGACAAUCUAGAGCCUUCAACUAACUUCAAGAACAAAACCUCCUUUUUGGAAUGUGGCAGAAAACCCACACAAGGACAAAGGAGAACUUCAAACAGGAAGGCCAGAGCCCGGAUUCGAACAGGCAGAUGUGCUCACUCGAAAGCCGCCCGGAAUCAGCACGUCAUCUAGCAAAUGAGACGUGAAUGUGGGGGCUCACCUGUUGUGUGCAGGCUUGGACCAAGUUCGGAGGAAACAUAUUUCUGAAAUGAGAAUCCACUCACUUAGAGACGAUUGAACGCAAAUAAGUAAGAAUGUUUCAUGCACCCGCGAGUAGUCUACUUUCUUACAGUACAUCAUUGCACGCUACCUAAUCAGAUCCAAAAAGGCAUCUGCAGGACUGACUUGCUCUAUCAUUUGUUGUUUCCCAAACUCAUCUUUAGAACCUUUUCCUGGGUGGAUGAUAAGGACAAUGAGGAUACCAAUGAAGACCGCAAUAAAAGUAGUGGUCAUGUAGUAAAUCACAGCUCUCAUGCCCAUUUUCCCGGAGGCUUUGCUGUCCAAAGCUGCCAUUCCUAAUGCACACAAGGGGUGGGGGGGGGACGACAAUACAGCAUUUAAGAAUCUGAACAUGAACGCUCUCAGAACCCCGGCAAAUACGGGGAGAAUAUAUUGAAAUGAUGAUCUUAGGCUCAGCAACCUUUGUACCUGUUAUUAGACUGGAGACCAAUAAGGGUAGAACAAGCAUCUGCAGCAUUCUCAUCAGUAGCUCCCCAGGGAAAGAGAAGUACUUCACCUCUCGAUACGACAUCUUAUAGGGACGCAAUGCAAAUCCAAGAAUAAUUCCUACGAAGACAAUGGAGGUGUGGGUCAGGGCGUCUGUCAGCUCAUGACUGAUGAAAUGCAUCACCUUUACUUUUCUAUUGAGUUUGAAAAGGCAUACGUACCCACAACAACUGCACCCACUGUGAAGAGCACAAAGGCAUUCUUUUUGAGAAAGGUCCGGAUGUCCUCUUUGGAGAUCUCCUCCACUUUCCUCUUGGCCUUCAUGGUGCGUAUGUGGAUGCCUUCUCUGAAACGCUGCAUCCUGCUGCGCUGGACCGAACAUUUACAGUCAGUGAGGUUGAC